rnacentral:rRNA from 1 species
AGUGAACGCUGGCGGUAGGCCUAACACAUGCAAGUCGAACGGCAGCACAGUAAGAGCUUGCUCUUACGGGUGGCGAGUGGCGGACGAGUGAGGAAUACAUCGGAAUCUACUUUUUCGUGGGGGAUAACGUAGGGAAACUUACGCUAAUACCGCAUACGACCUACGGGUGAAAGCAGGGGAUCUUCGGACCUUGCGCGAUUGAAUGAGCCGAUGUCGGAUUAGCUAGUUGGCGGGGUAAAGGCCCACCAAGGCGACGAUCCGUAGCUGGUCUGAGAGGAUGAUCAGCCACACUGGAACUGAGACGCGGUCCAGACUCCUACGGGAGGCAGCAGUGGGGAAUAUUGGACAAUGGGCGCAAGCCUGAUCCAGCCAUACCGCGUGGGUGAAGAAGGCCUUCGGGUUGUAAAGCCCUUUUGUUGGGAAAGAAAAGCAGCAGGUUAAUACCCCGCUGUUCUGACGGUACCCAAAGAAUAAGCACCGGCUAACUCCGUG